rnacentral:tRNA from 1 species
ACGUUCGUAGCUCAAUUGGUUAGAGCGCUACCAUGACAUGGUAGAAGUUGGUGGUUCAAGUCCACUCGAACGUAUCA